rnacentral:lncRNA from 1 species
AGUUUGCAAGAUGGGCUUUCCCAGAUAGUUCAAGGGAGCUGAAGAUGAUAGAGUUUGAGCAGUUGAGGCAGACCGAGGAUAUGGGUGUAGAGGAGUUCACAGACAGAUUCUUGGAGCUGUUGCCAUUUGCAGGGCAAAACCUUGACACGGAUCAGAAAAGAUCAAGGAGGUAUAUCAUGAAACUCCACUCUAGAUAUUCCUCCUUGAUCCAGUCAGCAGAUAGGGAGAGCUUCCACGCCAUAGUGGAUAUGGCCCGGAAAAUGGAGGCCAGUGCCAUCGUUCAGGGAACAGUUAAGCAGUCAGUGGCACA